GAUGAACGCUGGCGGCGUGCCUAAUACAUGCAAGUCGAGCGAACGGACGAGAAGCUUGCUUCUCUGAUGUUAGCGGCGGACGGGUGAGUAACACGUGGAUAACCUACCUAUAAGACUGGGAUAACUUCGGGAAACCGGAGCUAAUACCGGAUAAUAUUUUGAACCGCAUGGUUCAAAAGUGAAAGACGAUCUUGCUGUCACUUAUAGAUGGAUCCGCGCUGCAUUAGCUAGUUGGUAAGGUAACGGCUUACCAAGGCAACGAUGCAUAGCCGACCUGAGAGGGUGAUCGGCCACACUGGAACUGAGACACGGUCCAGACUCCUACGGGAGGCAGCAGUAGGAAAUCUUCCGCAAUGGGCGAAAGCCUGACGGAGCAACGCCGCGUGAGUGAUGAAGGUCUUCGGAUCGUAAAACUCUGUUAUUAGGGAAGAACAUAUGUGUAAGUAACUGUGCACAUCUUGACGGUACCUAAUCAGAAAGCCACGGCUAACUACGUG
rnacentral:rRNA from 1 species